rnacentral:lncRNA from 1 species
AGUCAGUGGGCUGGGGAAGGCAGAUCCAACCUCAAUCUGGUGCGCCAUCUAAUAAGCUGCCAAUGAAUAUAAAGCAGGCAGAAAAACAUAAGAAGGUGAGACUGGCCUAGCCUCCCAGCCUGCAUCUUUCUCCCAUGCUGAAUGCUUCCUGUCCUCGAACAUCAGACUCCAAGUUCUUUAGUUUUGAGACUCGGACUGGCUUCCUUGCUCCUCAAGCUUGCAGACAGCCUAUUGUGGGACCUUGUGAUCAUGGUCUUAACUCUGUCACCCAGGCUGGAGUGCAGUGGUGUGACCACAGCCACUGCAGGCUCAACCUCUGGGACUCAGGUGAUCCUCCCAUCUCAGCCUCCCAAGUAGCUGGGACUACAGGUUGCUUCUUCCAGAUCCCUUUUGAUCUACUUUCAGCUAUGGAUUCAUGAGAAUCAAGACUAAGCAGCCUGAAUUGAAGGAGUAACAGUAUCACCUAACAAUGAUUUUGCUGCCAUAGUAGCUGUUUGUAUACUGGCCAUAUGCCUAGGUAAAAUGAGGCCAGAUCACUCUCAAGAGUUUUCUAUCAGAGUUGGUGGUGAACUACUGCUCACGGAUAAUGACGAGAAACCCCAGCUGAGGAGGCAAAUAUACUCAAGGAAAGUAAUAGUUUCCAAAUGCCUGGCAGUGCCAGGAAGGGGCCAUGUCCAUGGACCACUAUGUAAGGAUAUCUCAGUCUCUAGUCCAGCGUGGUUUAUGGUGCCAAAUAAGUGCCAGGUGAACUCACUACAUCUGACAAAAUCUCAAGGAACCAAGUUUACCAGAUAAUAUUUAUGAUUAUGUGAAAAAGACUGAGGAAAUCACUCAAGUGAUCCAUCAUACAGCACCUCCAGUUCCAAAGAAUACUGACUUACUUCAGCUGUACUGGUCUGGAGCUGCACAUUCUUUUCAGACAACUCUUGUUCCAGUGACUCUUCUCCUGUAACAGAGCCUCCUUCUUAGAAACUAUGGCCUCCCGUUUC